CUUUGAAAAUGUCACCCCAGUCCCUCCUGGUCAUCUCACUCCCUCCUGGCCUGUACAGUUUCCAUUGAGAAGUCAGCUGCCAGAUGGAUUGGAGAUGCUUCAUGGGGAGUGAAGCCAGCCUGUUUCUAUGCUGCCGUUUUGGAACUCCUGAAAAAUAUUUUCACUGGAUUAGAAUUAGAGCUUGAUAGUUCUUUCCUUUAAGGACUUGGAAAAUAUUGUGCCACUUUCUUGUCUCCAUGUUUUAGGAGUAACUGGAAAUUUUCAGAAGUUACUAUCUCUGCUAUGGGGAUAGAUAGUCAGACACCAAUGUUCACAAAUUACUCUUGAAACUUGAUGCAAACAACCUGUUUAAAAACUGAUGUAAUGAGAGGAAUUUCAUGGAUGCAAAUGAACACCUGUGAAAAUUCUUAGGCAAGAACUGCUUCAUUUAGCAACACCAGGUUAGCAGUUUGAGAGAGGAUCUUUUUUGGGUCUACAUGCCCAAAUUUACAGAUUGUUUUGAUACUUGAAUCUGCCAUAAUGUUUGUUGAAUAAAUAAUCUCUAUCUUUGA